GGGGAAUAUUGCACAAUGGGGGAAACCCUGAUGCAGCAACGCCGUGUGAAGGAUGAAGGUUUUCGGAUUGUAAACUUCUUUAGUCAGGGACGAAAAAAAUGACGGUACCUGAAGAAUAAGCCACGGCUAACUACGUGCCAGCAGCCGCGGUAAUACGUAGGUGGCAAGCGUUGUCCGGAAUUACUGGGUGUAAAGGGCGUGUAGGCGGGAAUGUAAGUCAGAUGUGAAAUCCCAGGGCUUAACCCUGGAGCUGCAUCUGAAACUAUGUUUCUUGAGUGCCGGAGAGGAAAGCGGAAUUCCUAGUGUAGCGGUGAAAUGCGUAGAUAUUAGGAGGAACACCAGUGGCGAAGGCGGCUUACUGGGCUUUAACUGACGCUGAGGCGCGAAAGCGUGGGGAGCAAAC
rnacentral:rRNA from 1 species